GCCCUUGUUUGGUUCUGAGUCUCAGUUGCUGUUGCCAUAGCAAUGAACUUUCACCUUGAAGUGGCCUUUGGAUCCUGGCUCCAGCUUCUUGCUGCCCUGCUAGAACCGUUCUCCUCACAUCUCUUCAGAGGUUCCAGCAGCAGCCAGCAUCCUCAUAUCAGCGGUCUCUAUCCCACAGGCUCCGUCAAAGGGCCCGCCUCCAGGGUUCUAGAGCUGGCGAUGACAGCAUGUUUCCUCUGUGUCCUCGGACGAGUGGGAUAGUGCUACUGUUGGCUGGAGAUCCUGCUGACUUCCUCAAGCUGGGGCGGUGCAGGGAAGUGACGCAAAGUUGCACCUGGCCACCCAUCAUGGUUCGCCUUUCCUCAAUCACAACUGAGUUUAUUACUUGCCUAAAGAAAACACUAAGCAGAGAGUUCAGCGUCCACUGGAGAGGUUGCCGAGCACGAUCAGCAUGGACAGGCCUGAGAUGGGGUCAAGGCCCUAUGAAUUCCUUCUUCACCAACAUAAA